UACGUAGGGGCAAGCGUUGUCCGGAUUUAUUGGGCGUAAAGAGCGUGUAGGCGGUCUGGUAGGUCCGUUGUGAAAACUCGAGGCUCAACCUCGAGACGCCGAUGGAAACCAUCAGACUAGAGUCCGGAAGAGGAGAGUGGAAGUUCCUGGUGUAGCGGUGAAAUGCGCAGAUAUCAGGAAGAACACCCGUGGCUAAGGCGGCUCUCUAGUACGGUACUGACGCUGAGACGCGAAAGCGUGGGGAGCGAACAGG
rnacentral:rRNA from 1 species